rnacentral:rRNA from 1 species
UACGAAGGGGGCUAGCGUUGUUCGGAUUAACUGGGCGUAAAGGGUGCGUAGGCGGGUUUUUAAGUCAGGGGUGAAAUCCCGAGGCUCAACCUCGGAACUGCCUUUGAUACUGGAAAUCUUGAGUCUGGGAGAGGUGAGUGGAACUGCGAGUGUAGAGGUGAAAUUCGUAGAUAUUCGCAAGAACACCGGUGGCGAAGGCGGCUCACUGGCCCGGAACUGACGCUGAGGCACGAAAGCGUGGGGAGCGAACAGG